rnacentral:rRNA from 1 species
UACGGGGGGGGCAAGCGUUGUUCGGAAUUACUGGGCGUAAAGGGCUCGUAGGUGGCCAACUAAGUCGGACGUGAAAUCCCUCGGCUUAACCGGGGAACUGCGUCCGAUACUGGUUGGCUUGAGUUUGGGAGAGGGAUGCGGAAUUCCAGGUGUAGCGGUGAAAUGCGUAGAUAUCUGGAGGAACACCAGUAGCGAAGGCGGCACUCUGGGCCGGUACUGACCCUGAGGAGCGAAAGCGUGGGGAGCAAACAGG